UACGUAGGGUCCGAGCGUUGUCCGGAAUUACUGGGCGUAAAGAGCUCGUAGGUGGUUUGUCGCGUUGUUCGUGAAAACUCACAGCUCAACUGUGGGCGUGCGGGCGAUACGGGCAGACUAGAGUACUGCAGGGAGACUGGAAUUCCUGGUGUAGCGGUGGAAUGCGCAGACUAUCAGGAGGAACACCGGUGGCGAAGGCGGGUUGCUGGGCUGACACUGACGCUGGAUGCGCGAAAGCCGUUGGGGAGCGAACAGG
rnacentral:rRNA from 1 species